ACUUUCAGCAGUGAGGAAGGUGGGUAUGUUAAUAGCAUACUCAUUUGACGUUAGCUGCAGAAGAAGCACCGGCUAACUCCGUGCCAGCAGCCGCGGUAAUACGGAGGGUGCGAGCGUUAAUCGGAAUUACUGGGCGUAAAGCGCAUGCAGGUGGUUUGUUAAGUCAGAUGUGAAAGCCCGGGGCUCAACCUCGGAAUUGCAUUUGAAACUGGCAAACUAGAGUACUGUAGAGGGGGUAGAAUUUCAGGUGUAGCGGUGAAAUGCGUAGAGAUCUGAAGGAAUACCGGUGGCGAAGGCGGCCCCCUGGACAGAUACUGACACUCAGAUGCGAAAGCGUGGGGAGCAAACAGGAUUAGAUACCCUCGGUAG
rnacentral:rRNA from 1 species